CAGUCGCCACGGUAAUCCGGAGGGAGCUAGCGUUGUUCGGAAUUACUGGGCGUAAAGCGCACGUAGGCGGCUUUGUAAGUUAGAGGUGAAAGCCUGGGGCUCAACUCCAGAAUUGCCUUUAAGACUGCAUCGCUUGAAUCAUGGAGAGGCGGGUGGAAUUCCGAGUGUAGAGGUGAAAUUCGUAGAUAUUCGGAAGAACACCAGUGGCGAAGGCGGCCCGCUGGACAUGUAUUGACGCUGAGGUGCGAAAGCGUGGGGAGCAAACAGGAUUAGAUACCCCAGUAGUCCCUGUCUCUUAUAU
rnacentral:rRNA from 1 species